rfam:Symbiobacterium thermophilum isolate G2 contig00376, whole genome shotgun sequence.
GCGACCUUUAAGGCAGUCCCGUGAGGCUGGCAAGGUCACAUGGUUUGGUGCGCCCUGAUGCGGGUGUGCCUGCCACGCGACUUCUUGCCUCGCCGGUAAGAGGUCCUUUUUUAU